UACGAACUGUGCGAACGUUAUUCGGAAUCACUGGGCUUACAGGGUGCGUAGGCGGCUUGUUAAGUAGGGUGUGAAAGCCCCCGGCUCAACCGGGGAAUUGCGCCCUAAACUGGCGAGCUGGAGUGAGAUAGGGGUGUGUGGAACUUCCGGUGGAGCGGUGAAAUGUGUUGAUAUCGGAAGGAACGCCGGUGGCGAAAGCGACACACUGGAUCUUGGCUGACGCUGAGGCACGAAAGCCAGGGGAGCGAACGGG
rnacentral:rRNA from 1 species